AAGCCAGCAGUUGGUCGAUUUCAUCCGCGAGCAUAUAGACACAGUAAGUACCAAGCAGUUUAACACUAUCUGCCCUUUCGAAAAUUGUAAGCACCAUCUUCGGAUUGCCUUUGGGCUUCCUUUGGCAAUUUCUCAUGCUGAUGCUGUCCUGGCCAUAUGCUUUCUGGAAACUAAAUGAACUGAGUCCUUUUGUAUGGCUGGGCAUGUUACUGUUUGCUUUCCUUGUUGAUACUUGUAGUGAUGGUGGGUUGGAUUUCCUGUUGGAUACAUGAAUCAGGUUGUCCACAGAUCAUUCUGAAAAGGCAUUUCGAGUAAGGAUGGCAAACAGGUGCCCAUGAAGUUGCUGCUCGCUCGGAUGGUGCUCGACCUAAUUGUGUUGCCGAAGUUCUUAUUGAGGUUAUUAAGAUUUGCCAACUUUUUAGGUAGGUGUUCCAGAGCACGGAAGGCCCUUGAGCUAAGCCAACUUUUAGGAGUCAAUAUUUCUCCAACAGGUACUUUUGCAGUAGUCAUGAGUCAUUGCUUAUAUGAA
rnacentral:lncRNA from 1 species